GGGGCUGUUACUGGUUUCGACGAAAACUUUAAGAGCUUAAGUGGCAAGUGGGUGGCGAUCCUUAUACGCAAACAAAAAUAAAUAACAAAACAAAUAAUUAUGCUUUCGCAGCUUGCGCUGCCUAGUCUUUUUUAACAGAGAAAGCGCUUCUUUUUAAGUUUUACUCACGGACUUUUAAAGAGGCUCAUUUUAGUGAGUUAUAUUAUUCUUUUUGUUUAGGAAAGAGUAACGAAUAUUACUAAACUCGUUAUUUGAUGGGUGUGUUAACCAUCUUUAUCAUUUAAUUAAAAUUAAUUGUUAACUAAACUUGUAGAAGCUUAAGUAGCUUGGUUUUCGGACACGAGUUCGAAUCUCGUCAGCUCCACCA
rnacentral:tmRNA from 1 species